UACGGGGGGGGCAAGCGUUGUUCGGAAUUACUGGGCGUAAAGCGUGCGCAGGCGGCUUUGCAAGACAGAUGUGAAAUCCCCGGGCUCAACCUGGGAACUGCAUUUGUGACUGCAAGGCUAGAGUACGGUAGAGGGGGAUGGAAUUCCGCGUGUAGCAGUGAAAUGCGUAGAUAUGCGGAGGAACACCGAUGGCGAAGGCAAUCCCCUGGACCUGUACUGACGCUCAUGCACGAAAGCGUGGGGAGCAAACAGG
rnacentral:rRNA from 1 species